AAUAAGAUUAUUUUUCAGUUUUUUGAUACAAUGUUUUGACUCUUCGUCUUAUUUAAUUUUUUUUGCGAUUAAUAUUAUUAUUCUUACUAGAUGAUAAAAUAUAAAUAAUACUUUAUGCGUGACUAAUUUUUUUAAAAUUUUCGAUAAAUUUUUUAAAUAAGACGAAUGAUCAAACGUUGUAUAGAAAAAAAACG
rnacentral:pre_miRNA from 1 species